GAUGAACGCUAGCGGCAGGCCUAAUACAUGCAAGUCGAACGGUGUCUUCGGACAUAGUGGCGCACGGGUGCGUAACACGUAUGCAACCUACCUUACAUUGGGGGAUAGCCUUUCGAAAGGGAGAUUAAUACCGCAUAAGACAGUAGCUGGGCAUCCAGCAGCUGUUAAAGAUUUAUCGAUGUAAGCUGGGCAUGCGUCCAAUUAGCUAGUUGGUGAGGUAACGGCUCACCAAGGCAAUGAUUGGUAGGGGAACUGAGAGGUCAAUCCCCCACACUGGCACUGAGAUACGGGCCAGACUCCUACGGGAGGCAGCAGUAGGGAAUAUUGGGCAAUGGACGCAAGUCUGACCCAGCCAUGCCGCGUGUGGGAUGAAGGCGUUAUGCGUUGUAAACUGCUUUUAUACAGGAAGAAACGACUCUUGCGAGAGGCAUUGACGGUACUGUAUGAAUAAGCACCGGCUAACUCCGUGCCAGCCGCCGCGGUAAGAC
rnacentral:rRNA from 1 species